rnacentral:piRNA from 1 species
UGUCCUUGUGUCUUGCCGCUGUAAGAAA